rnacentral:rRNA from 1 species
UUAAGCGACUAAGCGUACACGGUGGAUGCCCUGGCAGUCAGAGGCGAUGAAGGACGUGCUAAUCUGCGAUAAGCGUCGGUAAGGUGAUAUGAACCGUUAUAACCGGCGAUUUCCGAAUGGGGAAACCCAGUGUGUUUCGACACACUAUCAUUAACUGAAUCCAUAGGUUAAUGAGGCGAACCGGGGGAACUGAAACAUCUAAGUACCCCGAGGAAAAGAAAUCAACCGAGAUUCCCCCAGUAGCGGCGAGCGAACGGGGAGCAGCCCAGAGCCUGAAUCAGUGUGUGUGUUAGUGGAAGCGUCUGGAAAGGCGCGCGAUACAGGGUGACAGCCCCGUACACAAAAAUGCACAUGCUGUGAGCUCGAUGAGUAGGGCGGGACACGUGGUAUCCUGUCUGAAUAUGGGGGGACCAUCCUCCAAGGCUAAAUACUCCUGACUGACCGAUAGUGAACCAGUACCGUGAGGGAAAGGCGAAAAGAACCCCGGCGAGGGGAGUGAAAAAGAACCUGAAACCGUGUACGUACAAGCAGUGGGAGCACGCUUAGGCGUGUGACUGCGUACCUUUUGUAUAAUGGGUCAGCGACUUAUAUUCUGUAGCAAGGUUAACCGAAUAGGGGAGCCGAAGGGAAACCGAGUCUUAACUGGGCGUUAAGUUGCAGGGUAUAGACCCGAAACCCGGUGAUCUAGCCAUGGGCAGGUUGAAGGUUGGGUAACACUAACUGGAGGACCGAACCGACUAAUGUUGAAAAAUUAGCGGAUGACUUGUGGCUGGGGGUGAAAGGCCAAUCAAACCGGGAGAUAGCUGGUUCUCCCCGAAAGCUAUUUAGGUAGCGCCUCGUGAAUUCAUCUCCGGGGGUAGAGCACUGUUUCGGCAAGGGGGUCAUCCCGACUUACCAACCCGAUGCAAACUGCGAAUACCGGAGAAUGUUAUCACGGGAGACACACGGCGGGUGCUAACGUCCGUCGUGAAGAGGGAAACAACCCAGACCGCCAGCUAAGGUCCCAAAGUCAUGGUUAAGUGGGAAACGAUGUGGGAAGGCCCAGACAGCCAGGAUGUUGGCUUAGAAGCAGCCAUCAUUUAAAGAAAGCGUAAUAGCUCACUGGUCGAGUCGGCCUGCGCGGAAGAUGUAACGGGGCUAAACCAUGCACCGAAGCUGCGGCAGCGACGCUUAUGCGUUGUUGGGUAGGGGAGCGUUCUGUAAGCCUGUGAAGGUGUGCUGUGAGGCAUGCUGGAGGUAUCAGAAGUGCGAAUGCUGACAUAAGUAACGAUAAAGCGGGUGAAAAGCCCGCUCGCCGGAAGACCAAGGGUUCCUGUCCAACGUUAAUCGGGGCAGGGUGAGUCGACCCCUAAGGCGAGGCCGAAAGGCGUAGUCGAUGGGAAACAGGUUAAUAUUCCUGUACUUGGUGUUACUGCGAAGGGGGGACGGAGAAGGCUAUGUUGGCCGGGCGACGGUUGUCCCGGUUUAAGCGUGUAGGCUGGUUUUCCAGGCAAAUCCGGAAAAUCAAGGCUGAGGCGUGAUGACGAGGCACUACGGUGCUGAAGCAACAAAUGCCCUGCUUCCAGGAAAAGCCUCUAAGCAUCAGGUAACAUCAAAUCGUACCCCAAACCGACACAGGUGGUCAGGUAGAGAAUACCAAGGCGCUUGAGAGAACUCGGGUGAAGGAACUAGGCAAAAUGGUGCCGUAACUUCGGGAGAAGGCACGCUGAUAUGUAGGUGAAGUCCCUCGCGGAUGGAGCUGAAAUCAGUCGAAGAUACCAGCUGGCUGCAACUGUUUAUUAAAAACACAGCACUGUGCAAACACGAAAGUGGACGUAUACGGUGUGACGCCUGCCCGGUGCCGGAAGGUUAAUUGAUGGGGUUAGCCGCAAGGCGAAGCUCUUGAUCGAAGCCCCGGUAAACGGCGGCCGUAACUAUAACGGUCCUAAGGUAGCGAAAUUCCUUGUCGGGUAAGUUCCGACCUGCACGAAUGGCGUAAUGAUGGCCAGGCUGUCUCCACCCGAGACUCAGUGAAAUUGAACUCGCUGUGAAGAUGCAGUGUACCCGCGGCAAGACGGAAAGACCCCGUGAACCUUUACUAUAGCUUGACACUGAACAUUGAGCCUUGAUGUGUAGGAUAGGUGGGAGGCUUGGAAGUGUGGACGCCAGUCUGCAUGGAGCCGACCUUGAAAUACCACCCUUUAAUGUUUGAUGUUCUAACGUUGACCCGUAAUCCGGGUUGCGGACAGUGUCUGGUGGGUAGUUUGACUGGGGCGGUCUCCUCCUAAAGAGUAACGGAGGAGCACGAAGGUUGGCUAAUCCUGGUCGGACAUCAGGAGGUUAGUGCAAUGGCAUAAGCCAGCUUGACUGCGAGCGUGACGGCGCGAGCAGGUGCGAAAGCAGGUCAUAGUGAUCCGGUGGUUCUGAAUGGAAGGGCCAUCGCUCAACGGAUAAAAGGUACUCCGGGGAUAACAGGCUGAUACCGCCCAAGAGUUCAUAUCGACGGCGGUGUUUGGCACCUCGAUGUCGGCUCAUCACAUCCUGGGGCUGAAGUAGGUCCCAAGGGUAUGGCUGUUCGCCAUUUAAAGUGGUACGCGAGCUGGGUUUAGAACGUCGUGAGACAGUUCGGUCCCUAUCUGCCGUGGGCGCUGGAGAACUGAGGGGGGCUGCUCCUAGUACGAGAGGACCGGAGUGGACGCAUCACUGGUGUUCGGGUUGUCAUGCCAAUGGCACUGCCCGGUAGCUAAAUGCGGAAGAGAUAAGUGCUGAAAGCAUCUAAGCACGAAACUUGCCCCGAGAUGAGUUCUCCCUGACCCUUUAAGGGUCCUGAAGGAACGUUGAAGACGACGACGUUGAUAGGCCGGGUGUGUAAGCGCAGCGAUGCGUUGAGCUAACCGGUACUAAUGAACCGUGAGGCUUAACCUU